AAAACAAUCAGCUUAAAAAACUGAUUAAAAACAACUUUUAACAACGGAUCUCUAGGCUCUCGCAUCGAUGAAGAACGUAGCAAAUUGCGAUAACUAUUGUGAAUUGCAUCUCGUGAAUCAUCAAGUUUUUGAACGCAUCUUGCACUCUUUGG
rnacentral:rRNA from 1 species